UACGGAGGGUGCAAGCGUUAUCCGGAUUCACUGGGCUUAAAGGGUGCGUAGGCGGUCUUUUAAGUCAGUGCUGAAAUACUCCAGCUUAACUGGAGGGGUGGCAUUGAUACUGGAAGACUUGAGUAUAGUUGAGGUAGGCGGAAUUGACGGUGUAGCGGUGAAAUGCUUAGAUAUCGUCAAGAACACCGAUAGUGAAGACAGCUUACUAAGCUAUAACUGACGCUGAGGCACGAAAGUGUGGGGAGCAAACAGG
rnacentral:rRNA from 1 species